CCCUUAGAUGCUCUGGGCCGCACGCGCGCUACAUUGAUGCAAGCAGUAGGCAUGCCUAGCGCGAGAGCGCCCGGGAAUCUGUUGUAGGCUGCAUCGUAACGGGGAUGGCCCAGUGGAAUCCUUGGUCCUGAACGGGGAAUGCCUAGUAGGCACGGGUCAGCAACCCGUGCCGAUUACGUCCCUGCCUUUUGUACACACCGCCCGUCGCCCCUACCGAUCGGGUGUGCUGGUGAGGUGAAGGGCGUGUCAGGAUACGGGCGGCGUCCCUGUACCCGGGUACGGUGCCCCUAUCGAAGCCGCAAACUCCCCCGAACCCUCCCGCCUAGAGGAAGGAGAAGUCGUAACA
rnacentral:rRNA from 1 species